GCGGGAGUAGCUCAGCGGUAGAGUCCUACCUUGCCAAGGUAGUUGUCGCGGGUUCAAAUCCCGUCUCCCGCU
rnacentral:tRNA from 1 species